GUGGGGUAACGGCCUACCAAGGCAACGACGGGUAGCUGGUCUGAGAGGACGAUCAGCCACACUGGGACUGAGACACGGCCCAGACUCCUACGGGAGGCAGCAGUAGGGAAUCUUGCGCAAUGGGCGAAAGCCUGACGCAGCGACGCCGCGUGCGGGAUGAAGGCCUUCGGGUCGUAAACCGCUUUCAGCAGGGACGAAAUUGACGGUACCUGCAGAAGAAGGCCCGGCCAACUACGUGCCAGCAGCCGCGGUGAUACGUAGGGGUCUAGCGUUGUCCGGAAUCAUUGGGCGUAAAGAGCUCGUAGGCGGUUCGGCAAGUCGGAUGUGAAAUCUCCACGCUCAACGUGGAGGGGCCAUUCGAUACUGUCGUGACUCGAGUCCGGUAGGGGAGUGCGGAAUUCCCGGUGUAGCGGUGAAAUGCGCAGAUAUCGGGAGGAACACCAGUGGCGAAGGCGGAACUCUGGGCCGGAACUGACGCUGAGGAGCGAAAGCGUGGGGAGCGAACAGGAUUAGAUACCCUGGUAGUCCACGCCGUAAACGUUGGGCACUAGGUGUGGGACUCUAUCGACGGGUUCCGUGCCGUAGCUAACGCAUUAAGUG
rnacentral:rRNA from 1 species